rnacentral:rRNA from 1 species
UAGUACUUUUCGAAUCGCAUGACUUUACGUCGGCGAUGGUUCAUUCAAAUUUCUGCCCUAUCAAGUUUCGAUGGUAGGAUAGAGGCCUACCAUGCUUUUUACGGGUAACGGCGAAUUAGGGUUCGAUUCCGGAGAGGGAGCCUGAGAAACGGCUACCACAUCUAAGGAAGGCAGCAGGCGCGCAAAAUUACCCAAUCCUGAUUCAGGGAGGUAGUGACAAUAAAUAACAAUCCAGGACUUCGGUCUUGGAAUUGGAAUGAGAACAAUUUAAAUCUCUUAUCGAGGAACAAUUGGAGGGCAAGUCUGGUGCCAGCAGGCCGGGUAAUUCCAGCUCCAAUAGCGUAUAUUAAAGUUGUUGCAGUUAAAUAGCUCGUAGUUGAAUCUUGGGGCUGGUUUUGGCGGUCGCGUCUUUGACGUGUACUGUCGGCCGGUUCUUUUACUUGUGGGGAACGUAUGUUGCCCUUUUGCGGGUGUGUACCGGGAACCAUGGGUGUUACUUUGGGAAAAAUUAGAGUGUUUAAAAGCGGGCGUUAAGGUUGGAUACUUUAAGCAUGGAUUAAUAGAAUAGGGACCUUGGGAUUCAAUUGGGUGGGUACCUGGGGGCCGGAAGUUAAAUGGAUUUAAAUAAGGGGGAUAGUUAGGGGGGACAUUUAAGUAU